AGGGACCGGUAAGUGAACGUUCAAACACUACCACAGUGUGUUAAGAUUCGAUUCAAAUUUCACCUCAUGACUCAGGGCUUUUCGUUAAUUUUAGUAGACACGCUAUGUAAAUUGUAGUCGGUAUGUGCGUCACGAUCUGUCUUAGUUUCCUACUGGACGACAAGUAUACGCAUCAUUUACGGACAUUGAGAGGUAGCCAAACUGUCGAAUACGUCAGCACAAAAACCAACGUCUGAAUCUACCCUGACACUGAUCCUGACCCUGUGUGCUGGCUCGACAUUAGCUGAUGUCAACGUAUGCCCUAGAACAGUCGUGGAAGCAUUACACCAUGAUAGCUUGCAAGCUCAGCGCUCGUAUAAUUUUCGAGCGGUUGCUGGCGUUCUCGCUCAGGAUUAUUAUGGUCCAGUUAAAGGAAAGCGCUCGUUCAUUGCAUCCUCAUAUGGGAAAUGGUUAGAGGGAACUCGCGCCCCGGUAAUGCCUUCCUCCGUCAAUCAGACGGAGUCUUACUACAAUAACGUCCUCGAUUUAGUCAAUGGGGUUCUUUCCCCAGGUGGAGUUGUAUAUAUCGAUCAAGACACCGGUUACUGAUUGACAGGUCGGAUACUAUACAAUAAAUUUAGAGGAACGAAAAGGAAUUUUUAGGCAUGCAGCUUGCCCUUUAUGCCCAUCUAAAGGGAUUUGGUCCGCG